rnacentral:rRNA from 1 species
CCUAACACAUGCAAGUCGAACGGAUCCUUCGGGAUUAGUGGCGGACGGGUGAGUAACACGUGGGAACGUGCCCUUUGGUUCGGAACAACUCAGGGAAACUUGAGCUAAUACCGGAUGUGCCCUUCGGGGGAAAGAUUUAUCGCCAUUGGAGCGGCCCGCGUCUGAUUAGCUAGUUGGUGAGGUAAAGGCUCACCAAGGCGACGAUCAGUAGCUGGUCUGAGAGGAUGAUCAGCCACAUUGGGACUGAGACACGGCCCAAACUCCUACGGGAGGCAGCAGUGGGGAAUCUUGCGCAAUGGGCGAAAGCCUGACGCAGCCAUGCCGCGUGAAUGAUGAAGGUCUUAGGAUUGUAAAAUUCUUUCACCGGGGACGAUAAUGACAGUACCCGGAGAAGAAGCCCCGGCUAACUUCGUGCCAGCAGCCGCGGUAAUACGAAGGGGGCUAGCGUUGCUCGGAAUUACUGGGCGUAAAGGGAGCGUAGGCGGACUGUUAAGUUAGAGGUGAAAGCCCAGGGCUCAACCUUGGAAUUGCCUUUGAUACUGGCAGUCUUGAGUACGGAAGAGGUAUGUGGAACUCC